GAUGAACGCUAGCGGCAGGCUUAACACAUGCAAGUCGAGGGGCAGCAUGACGGAACUUUCGGGUUCUGUUGAUGGCGACCGGCGCAAGGGUGCGUAACGCGUGAGCAACUUGCCCGUUUCUGGGGCAUAACCGGUGGAAACGCCGACUAAUUCCCCAUAGUAUCUUUUAGAGGCAUCUCUUUAAGAUUAAAGAAUUUCGGAAACGGAUAGGCUCGCGUGACAUUAGCUAGAUGGCGGGGUAACGGCCCACCAUGGCGACGACGUCUAGGGGUUCUGAGAGGAAGGUCCCCCACACUGGGACUGGGACACGGUCCAG
rnacentral:rRNA from 1 species